rnacentral:rRNA from 1 species
AAUGAACGCUGGCGGCAUGCCUAACACAUGCAAGUCGAACGAAGGCUUCGGCCUUAGUGGCGCACGGGUGCGUAACGCGUGGGAAUCUGCCCUCAGGUUCGGAAUAACAGCGAGAAAUUGCUGCUAAUACCGGAUGAUAUCGCGAGAUCAAAGAUUUAUCGCCUGAGGAUGAGCCCGCGUAGGAUUAGCUAGUUGGUGUGGUAAAGGCGCACCAAGGCGACGAUCCUUAGCUGGUCUGAGAGGAUGAUCAGCCACACUGGGACUGAGACACGGCCCAGACUCCUACGGGAGGCAGCAGUGGGGAAUAUUGGACAAUGGGCGAAAGCCUGAUCCAGCAAUGCCGCGUGAGUGAUGAAGGCCUUAGGGUUGUAAAGCUCUUUUACCCGGGAUGAUAAUGACAGUACCGGGAGAAUAAGCUCCGGCUAACUCCGUGCCAGCCGCCGCGGUAA